AUUGAACGCUGGCGGCAUGCUUUACACAUGCAAGUCGAACGGUAACAGGCCUUCGGGUGCUGACGAGUGGCGAACGGGUGAGUAAUGCAUCGGAACGUGCCCAAUCGUGGGGGAUAACGUAGCGAAAGUUACGCUAAUACCGCAUAAGCCCUGAGGGGGAAAGUGGGGGACCGCAAGGCCUCACGCGAAUGGAGCGGCCGAUGUCAGAUUAGCUAGUUGGUGGGGUAAAGGCCCACCAAGGCGACGAUCUGUAGCGGGUCUGAGAGGAUGAUCCGCCACACUGGGACUGAGACACGGCCCAGACUCCUACGGGAGGCAGCAGUGGGGGAAUUUUGGACAAUGGGCGCAAGCCUGAUCCAGCCAUGCCGCGUGCGGGACGAAGGCC
rnacentral:rRNA from 1 species